rnacentral:lncRNA from 1 species
GCCAUACCUCGCACUUGCAGCACAAGUGAAACACUUGUAGUCACGCCAGGGUUGGGCCCAUCAAGCAGUGACUACAGAUUGCCACCGCUACCAUUUGACCUAUAGGUUGCCAUCGGCAACACCGAAGCUGCAAGUUUCCAGCCGCACAAAAUCGAGGAUUAUCUCUUGGUUGAGCAACCACUUGAUUUCAAUCAGUGUGCACCCAGGAAGGCUGUACGAGACUGCUGCGAAGGCACUAAUCUUGGAGUACCCUGUACUUAAGGACACCAUUGGGACGGGU